AGCUCACUGGUCGAGUCGGCCUGCGCGGAAGAUGUAACGGGGCUAAACCAUGCACCGAAGCUGCGGCAGCGACACUAUGUGUUGUUGGGUAGGGGAGCGUUCUGUAAGCCGUUGAAGGUGUACUGUGAGGUAUGCUGGAGGUAUCAGAAGUGCGAAUGCUGACAUAAGUAACGAUAAUGCGGGUGAAAAACCCGCACGCCGGAAGACCAAGGGUUCCUGUCCAACGUUAAUCGGGGCAGGGUGAGUCGACCCCUAAGGCGAGGCCGAAAGGCGUAGUCGAUGGGAAACAGGUUAAUAUUCCUGUACUUGGUGUUACUGCGAAGGGGGGACGGAGAAGGCUAUGUUAGCCGGGCGACGGUUGUCCCGGUUUAAGCAUGUAGGCGGAGGUUCCAGGUAAAUCCGGUACCUUUUAACGCUGAGGUGUGAUGACGAGGCACUACGGUGCUGAAGUAACAAAUGCCCUGCUUCCAGGAAAAGCCUCUAAGCAUCAGGUAACACGAAAUCGUACCCCAAACCGACACAGGUGGUCAGGUAGAGAAUACCAAGGCGCUUGAGAGAACUCGGGUGAAGGAACUAGGCAAAAUGGUGCCGUAACUUCGGGAGAAGGCA
rnacentral:rRNA from 1 species